GUUCUUGGUCUGUCUCCUCCCCUCUCACUGCAGACAUGAAACACUGGCUGAGAAACAUCCUGAUUCUGACUCUCUGGAUAGAGUGUAAAGGAGAAGACAAAGUGACCCAGCCAACAGGAGAUGUCACUGCUGUUCAAGGACUCACACUGACUCUACAAUGUACAUUUGAGACCAGUGACGCAAAUCCAACUUUGUUUUGGUACAAACAGGAAGUUAAUGAUUAUCCCAGAUACAUGCUUUAUAAAUACAAAUCAGGAUCAGAAACAUUUAAAGCUCCUGAGUACCAGGAUGAAAGAUUUGACGCCAAGAACAACCAGACCUCAUUUCCUCUGAAGAUCCAGAAGCUUCAUGUGUCAGACUCUGCUGUGUACUACUGUGCUCUGCAGCCCACAGUGACAGGAAACAGCAAAACUCUGAACAAAAACCUCUGGAGCAAAGACAACAGCUGCUCUGUCAAACAGUCGGCUUGGAUUCACUGCAAACGACUCUUGACAAACUUCACCCCUCCAUCCUUUUGA